UACGUAGGGCGCAAGCGUUGUCCGGAAUUAUUGGGCGUAAAGAGCUCGUAGGCGGUUUGUCACGUCGGCUGUGAAAUCCCGAGGCUUAACCUCGGGCUUGCAGUCGAUACGGGCAGACUUGAGUGGUGCAGGGGAGACUGGAAUUCCUGGUGUAGCGGUGAAAUGCGCAGAUAUCAGGAGGAACACCGAUGGCGAAGGCAGGUCUCUGGGCAUUAACUGACGCUGAGGAGCGAAAGCGUGGGGAGCGAACAGG
rnacentral:rRNA from 1 species